rnacentral:piRNA from 1 species
UAAAAAGCGUUCUUUACAGAG